UUGACAUAAUCAACUUUAUUCCCUUAAGGUUGUAUCUUAGAGACUUCUCUUGUUCCUUCUUGUACAAGGCCUAUUGGUUGGUUCUUAGGGUUUCAGGUCCUCCUUUCCUUGUUGUUACUAGGUUUCUUAAUCCUU